GAGAGUUCAAGAGUACGUGAAACCGUUCAGGGGUAAACGGGAGAAAUCCUGAAUUCGAAAGGGGCCGGAUUCAACUCGACCCCGAUUGUCCUGGAUGCAUGGCCCCACCAGAUGGCGCCGGUCGCCCGCGGCGAUUCAUUUCGUUUGCGGUGUCGUUCCCGACGAUCACUCGGUGAGGUUGCAUUUCUCUGCCUUCGGACGAGUGCACUUCCACCCUAGUAGAAACGUCGCGACCCGUUGGGUGCCGGCCAAAGGCUCGGGAUGGCAGACCGUUUGUCCUGUGGGGGCUCCCACAUGCAGGCGGACUCCUGGUGACCCGACCGGCUGCCCGACGGUAUGACCAGAGGAGUCGAUCCGCUGUAAGUGAAACACUGUGGUUGUGUAGCGUCCGGCCCGGCGCCGACGCGUGCGGGGAUUGAGGUGCAAACCGGGGGUGCCCGUGCGAAGCACGGCCCCGGCCCCGCUGCGUCGUCGGAUUUGCCGGUGUCCUCGGACUGGAUCGAUACUCCCGUCUGCGACGCCCACCUUCGGAUGGUCUCC
rnacentral:rRNA from 1 species